rnacentral:rRNA from 1 species
UACGUAGGGGGCAAGCGUUGUCCGGAUUUAUUGGGCGUAAAGAGCGUGUAGGCGGCUUGGAAGGUCCGUUGUGAAAACUCGAGGCUCAACCUCGAGACGCCGAUGGAAACCACCUAGCUAGAGUCCGGAAGAGGAGAGUGGAAUUCCUGGUGUAGCGGUGAAAUGCGUAGAGAUCCGGAGGAACACCAAAGGCGAAGGCAGUGUCCUGGGGAGUACCUGACGCUCAGGUGCGAAAGCCAGGGGAGCGAACGGG